CUUCUGGGGGUGGAGUGGGGGGAACGGGGACUGUUAAAUUAUCAGUGAUCAGCUGUUGCCUUUUUUGCUACAUUUCCUCUCCAAGUUGCUAUUAGAAAAACCAUCCUGGGGUCCCCGAGCCCAGGGUCCAGAGUGAACACAGCCUUCCUUGCCUCCCCGAGAGCAAGGAAGAAACCCCUCCAGUUUUCUGAAAUUAGGGCCCAAAGAGGAAAAGGGGACAUGAGCAAGUUCUGUGCAUCGGCUGCAAGAUAAGAAAGACGACCGAUAAUCCCAACGUUUUGGGAGGCCAAGGCGGGCGGAUCACCUGAGGUCGGGAGUUCCAGACCAGCCUGGCCAACAUGGUGAAACCCCGUCUCUACUAAAAACACAAAAAUUAGCUGGGCGUGGCGACGCCUGCCUGUAAUCGCAGCUACUCAGGAGGCUGAGGCAGAUCACCUACACCCGGGCGGCAGAGGUUGCAGUGAGCCGAGAUCGCGCCAUUGCACUCCAGCCUGGGCAACAGGAGCGAAACGCCGUAUCAAAAAAUAAAAAUAAAAAAAGAAGAAAGAAAGAAAGAGGACAGAGAGGGCAAGGACACCACAGACAGGAGGAGAGGAGUCCAGCUCACUCCCCCUGGCUGGUUGGGUGGUGUGUUCUGCGAGUGUGACCCAUGUUGGCCAACAGAGGACAGCAAAAUACAUUUUUUAUGAUCCUGGGAGGUUCAGGCCAGUCACGUUUUCGCGCAGAGAGGCGGGGCGGUGGAGAGGGACAAGUCAUGUCUCAGUUAUGUGGAUUCUCUUUGCGAAAGAGGGGCCACUUCUGCAAUGGAUUUGGGGGUCCCUGGGCAGGCGUGUGGGUGGGGCAGAUUUUAGGAAGGGGAUGAGCUGCUGUGGGGGCGUCUCCCUUACUGCGGGAAAUGGAAAGUAUUACAGCUAUGGCUGGUGAGAGUGUCAGUGCCAGAGGCCAGGUCUUUGCCAGGUGGAGAGGACACCCUUAUGCCCUACCCCCAAGUUCCAGCACCUCUCCAAGAGCCCUUGGCCCCGGAAGCAGCAACAAAGUGACACUGGACUGGGGAGGAGGAAGCACAACUUUAUUUUCUGGCCCGAAGAUAAACCUGCCAGUAAUUUCAGCAAAUGAAACGUGGAACGCGUCAAGGCCAGAGGAUGGAAAAGGCUCCGGUUUUGAUAAAAGGAGGCCUGCUUGGCUUGGAAUCCUCUCUCCUGCUGGUUGGAAGAUGCAAAGAUGUUUCCAGAGAGGGGCUGAAGAAUUGAGGGGAAAGAAAUGAGCCCAGUAUGAGUCCCCUUUCAGGGCUGAGCGCGUAUAAAACCAAACAACUUGGAACAGCUCCAAGAGAGGGGAUUAAAGCAACAUGUUAUUCUGAGUGAUUGCUUAAUUUAUUGAGCUGCGGCUGGAUCUGUAAUGAAAUACAGCCCUUGUAACUGAUAACCUCCUGCUGCAAUUGACCUUCUACAAUUAAGGAAUAUUUUCCGAGUUUCUCUGGAACGGCUCUGAAUUUCUAGCCUCUGUGACAGGGUGCUUCUGAACAUUUGUUUUCCAGGCAAUUUUUUUUUUUCUUGAGUAUCAGACUGAUGUUAAUAAAUAAGCAGCAUUUUAUUGAGUGCUUUGUGGGAACCAGGAACUUUAUAUAUAUUAUAUCUAAUCCUGACACUAAUCCUGACAAUAUCCCGUGAAAUAACCCCUAUUAUUCCCUAUUUUAUGGAUGUGAAGCCACGAGACGUUCGGUCAUUUUCUAGAGUGGUGCUGUCCAAGACAGUAGCUGUUAUGGCUCCUUGUGGCUAUUGAUGUGUAAAUUAGUUAAAAUUAAAUAAAUUUUAAAGUUGACUCCCUAGGUUGCACUAACAAUGAGUUCAAGUGCCCAGCAGCCUUGUGUAGCUGAUGGCUACCACGUUGGACAGUGCAGAUAUAGACCAUUUGAAGGUUGCGCGAGUGCUAUUGAUCAGCACUGACUCAGAUUUCCUUUUUUUUUUUUUUUUUUUUUUGAGAUGGAGGCUUGUUCUAUCAUUCAGGUUGGAGUGCAAUGGUGCAGUCUCGGCUCACUGGAACCACCACCUCCUGGGUUCAAGCGAUUCUCCUGCCCCAGUCUGCUGGGUAGCUGGGACUACAGGUGCAUGCCGCCAUGCCCAGCUAAUUUUUGUAUUUUUAAUAGAGAUGGGGUUUCACUGGCCAGGCUGAUCUUGAACUCCUGACCUCAGGGGAUCCACCUGCCUCAACCUCCCAAAGUGUUGGGAUUACAGGCGUGAGCCACCACGCCCGGCUGGGUUCAGAUUUCAUAGCUAGAACCUGGCAGUGCCAGAAUUCAAGCCCAAGCUAAUGGGCUUUGAAGGCAGAGUUCAUCUGCCAGCCGUGUUGCUUCUUUUUUUUUUUUUUUUUUUUGACGAUCUCCUCUGCCCAGCUGAGGCAGUGCCAAUUCGGCUCACUGCAGUCCAUCCGUU
rnacentral:lncRNA from 1 species